rnacentral:lncRNA from 1 species
CUUCCUGGGCCUGGGACCCGAGGGGAGCCGAGCGGGAAUUGCUUUCCUGGUUCGAUCCGCUGCCGCUGUGAGGGCCGAGCGGAAACCCGUAGACCUUUUAUGUGAAGAGAUUGCGGCCUCCUGGUCACCAGUCACCGAGAGAGGGACCCCUGGACCGCCUACGUGGUGGUGUCUGCCGCAGGCCAUAGGGAUCCAGCCCACUUAGGCAGUCCCUUGGGGACGCGGCCUUCCCUCCGGAGCGGAAAGGCGCUUCCCGCCCGCCCUGCGGUAAUCCCGGAAGCCCUCAGCCGUUAAGCUAAAAUUUCUGUUGCUUUGGCUACUGAUGGAAACCUGUUGUAAGUGGAACCUCUAAACUGUAUGACAGGUGAACCCACUUUAGGUAGCUGUGUGAUUCUGUCCACUUGUACAGACGUGCAGUGGUUUUUAAGUCUCCUAUAAUGACGUCAUUUUAAAGAGGCAUUUCCUCCACCCCGCUGACAAGAGCGCCUCUUGAGGGCCCUAAACAAUGUAAACAGCGAUGAUUUUCAUGAAUUGAGCACUGUGUAAGGGCUUUACAUAUAUUCUGUCUCAUCUUCACGGAGCCAUAGUACCCAUUUUAUACCUGAGGAACCUGAAGCUCAGAAAGGAAAAGGGACCUGGCCAAGACCACAUAACCCUUGCCCUAUUUUAACCGCUGGAUGCCCCAAAACAUGAAUCAUAAAAAUGCUUUGUAAUGUAGAUAUAUUAUGUACUAUGUAGUACAUAAAAGACAUGAAUGCUUCAACAAAAUACAGGCAAUAAUAGAAAUAUCUACAAGGGCCAAAUGUAGCCAGAGAGAUAAUGCUUGAAUCUCAUCUGAAAGUGUGCUAUGUGAGCUGAGUGUUGAUGAAUGGCUAGGAGUUCAACAGAGAAGGUAGGGAAGAUGGUCUAGCCGCAGAGAACAAGCAAAAGCGCAGAAGGUGUCAAGUAAGUAAUAGUUUGGGGAGCUUAAAGUGCAUGGAGGGUACAUGGCAAAAUAUUAGGCAAGUUAGUCAGGGGUCAUGUCAGUUAAGAGCAUUUUAUGCCUAAGAGUGGGCUUAAAUCUUUGCAAACAGGACAUGCGAGCCAGAGAAGUGUUAUGAAGGAAGAAGAGGCAUAAGAAGGCUCCCUCUUGAGAUAAUCUGAAGAAUUGGCCAGAUUGAAAACCUUUUAAAAUCAAAACCCCUGAUUUGUUGAUAAAUCUUACUGUUCAACCUAUAGGUUCCCUUUGGAAAUUGAUUUUGAAAAGUGAAAAAUUCCAUUAUAAUGUUAAAAAGCCUCUUCCAAUUUGUCCAUUUUGUAAGUUUUAAAAUACCGAUAAUUAUAUUUCUUAACCUCAGGAUUUACAAAGUAAAGCAUUUAACCUCAAUACUGGUAGUCUAGGUUUUUGUUGUUGUUGUUGUUGUUUGUUUUUUUCUUGAGACGGAGUCUCGCUCUGUUGCCCAGAUUGGAGUACAGUGGUGAUCUCAGCUCACUGCAGCCUCUGCCUCCCAGGUUCAAGCGAUUCUCCUGUCUCAGCCUCCUGAGUAGCUGGGACUA